rnacentral:pre_miRNA from 1 species
GCACCUCCAUCGUUCAAUGGCACUGGCAGAGACGCGGUCGUGCAGUCUAAUAUUUGGCUUUCGAUUCAAAUGUUAACUGUAAGACUGUGUCUUUGACACUGUUCCCAGCAUCAUUUCGCCGA